GAAAUGCGAAACGUAAUGCGAUUUGCAUAAAUCUGUGAGUCAUCGAGUCUUUGAACGCACAUGGCACUCAUCCCUGUGAUGAGUAUGCCUGUUUGAGAAUCAUAAACCAACUUGAUUCACCUGUGAAUCAGAAGUGGAGAAUCAGAUGCUGUAGGGGCGUAUGUCUCGUGCCUGUUCUCUGAAUAUCAUUGGAUUGGUUGAUUGCCUUGAACAGGGAUCACAAUGAGGUGGGGACAAGAUUGUCUUUCACAUUGUCGUCAUGUUCAUGUCAUGUCGUAAACAACCGGUCACAACCCCCCUUUUUAUUUUUGUGAUCUCAAAUCAGGCAGGACUACCCGCUGAACUUAA
rnacentral:misc_RNA from 1 species